AUGGACUUGUGUGUCUACCCAUGGCCUGGAGAUGCUGUGGGUCACCUGCCAUGGAGUUUCUUCUUUGGGGUUCAGCAAGGAAGCAAGGGAGUUGCAAUCCGCAACCACACCAAAAAACAAAUAUUAUCUGAAAGCAUACAAACCACAGCAAUUUACAGAUCAUUAAUUUGGUUUAGCUUUACAGUCAUAGGUUCACAGUUAAAUGUAAUCUGCUUCUCCAACUUUGUGUCUUUGGACUGAAGUUGCUGUUUUGAUUGUGCAGUCAUUGGUGGAUAAGCAUUGCACCAGGGUUUUUGGUCAAAAUACAGUAAUUAUUUGUUAAUUCAGUCUAUCCGGUGCUUCAUUUGCAAGUCUGCUGCCUCAGCUGUUAAACUGACCUCUUUCAUUAGCAUUUAAUAGGGUUGAACCACACAGUUGCUGCAUUGUACUGGAGGGAGAAGCACUGUUGGGUCUAAAAUUAUAAUUUUUGCAACAGUGAAUCAAGAUGGGGCGGGAUAAUUUUGGAGUAAGUGAUCUUUAACAGGUCACUUUUAUGCAUAAAAGUAAGUUAAUUGAAAGGAUUAAGAGCACAUGGUGCUGUCUCAAUCUCACCUCUGGAUGUUUGGUUUAAUGUUGGUGGGAUCAAGCCAUUUCAGAGAGUGAUGCCUUGUCAGUUUGUGUAGCUGAUUGUGCCCACUAGGGCUUGUGUACAAGCUUGGUGAGGUGUAUACUGCAUGUAUCUAUUCUACACAUUGCAUUAUCAAUUAUCUUAUCCAUUGUGUCACAAUAUCCAUUCUGAGUGCCAGUUAGCUGUUAAAAAAGGCUGGCAAUAUUUUGUAUUUUUGUUAUGCUUAACAAAUCCCAUGAAAAUGUACUAAUCCAUCUCUCAACACUGUCCCACUUUUCCCAGCCCAUUCAUUUCUACUGGAAACAAUGUAUGUCAUUAAGAUAUCUUUAGAAACAGUUCAUGCUACAUGCCUUCAUUUUAAAUCAAAAUAAUUCCUUAAAGAACUAGGAAGUGUAGUUGCUAGCAGCGUAACUAAAACACGAGUAAACAGUACCAGUGCCAGGGAUUAUUUUCAGCUGUGAAUUUGGUGCUCUAUUGUGUAUAUACAGCAGCAGGAUGGUGUAUAUGGGACUGGCACAAAAUAAUCUAUAAAGCCCAUGCAUAUUAUAAUAAAGGAGAAUGUCUCCCAGUGCAUCAGUGAUGUGUUUCAACUGUGAUGAUGGAUCUCUAUAUUAGGCUUUGGCUACACAGGCAAUGCCUGGGUCAAUUCAUUGAUUUAAUUCUUUUCAUGAGAUUUAUUGACACCAUUUUUAUUCUUUAAUAUUGGUUCACCUUUCUUAAAUUAGUAGUUUUAAGGUUUUAAACUUUAAUGGUUUACAUUCUGCACAGCCUUGCAACAACACAGAGCUAAAACUGUAUACAAGUCUAUACAAUUCCUUCCUCAUAUCACCAAAGUCCUGCAAUAAUACGAAUCUCGAUCUCACACUUGAGGUAUGAGGUACACUGCUGGGACAAUCCGGAGCAAUGAUUGCCUUCUUGUCUGUAGAUUGUUCGGUAGAUUGAUAGAACAAGUGAGCAUUUUACACCAUAGUGUGCUAUUCCCUACACUUUAUCACUUUUUAUUUCCCUGCAUUAACAUCUGAUAUAUAAUCUAAUGUCCAUUUUUAUUCUAUUUCAUUGAAAGUUAUUUGCUCUGUUAGAGCUUUUAUUCCCCUUAAUGUCUUUAGUUAAAAACACAAACACACACACACACACACACACACACACACACAGUCUUCAUCGCUGUCUCUUCCCUAACAUGCACACAAUCUUUCACGCCCACACACAUCCUCAACUAUGCACGUACAUUAAACCAACUCAACUGAGCUGGUAGCAUGCUAUUUCAGCAGCCUACUGUUUUGUCAACGUGAGAACCUAAAAUAGAGAUACCCUGCUUUCCAUGGAGAUACACCCAUGGACACAUUAGCCCACGCACGCACCGUCACCAACAUGGGGAUGCUCACACAGACCUAAACAAACUUAAAGAUAAAAGGGACACAAACACUCACGCAGACCUCUCAGAUUUGAGUGGAUACAUAUAGACACACAUUUGUGCACACACAGAGCUGUAGUGUAUAUAGUGGGAUUUACUCAUAUAUUGGAGCAGAAUUACAAACACACAACACAAACACAAAGCUCUGAGCUUGAAUGACAUAAACAUAUAUUGAAUGUUUGGCUGAUAAAGCUCAAGAUAACAGUGGAAAAUAGACCAGCUCCCCAGACAUACAAAUACACACACACACACACACACACACACACACACACACACACACACACAUACACACACACACACAUACACACACACAUAAGUAGAGUGGAUAAUGACACGUGGGGCACUUAUUUCAGGGAAGCAAAGGUGGGUACAAGAUAUGAGUAACAAAUGUAGUAAGCAGAGCCACUCCACUGACAACUUCACCAGAAUGCUCUGCAAUUUAUAUUUCCAUGUUAGUGGCCUCCCUUUGAGCUGUGCUCCCAGCCUGUGGAUCAUUAAAAACACUUUCACUCAUAACCCAGAAUAAUGAAGACACAUUAAGUGUCUCAGGUCGAUGCUUAAUUUUUUGCCUUUCACACACGCUUGAU
rnacentral:lncRNA from 15 species